rnacentral:lncRNA from 1 species
ACCAAAGAUUCCACCGACAGUCACCCCGCAAGACAACUCAGGCCGCCUCUCAGCAGCGGCUCCCGCCCCGCAGCCACCGCGGCCUAUCCGACGGAUGCGGAAACCGAGACCGGCUGGAUGGGAAACUCCAGGAAGGCUCCGGGGCCCUCAACUGGUCUCCGACCUUCCCCUGCAACCUGUGACACCUGCCAUAUUCCCAUCUUAGGCGAUGGCAACGCCACCCUUCCGUUUGCUCCGGGCAAAACUUCGAGAGUUCCCUCUCACUCUGGAGUUCUUUCCUCAGAUCCAAGAGCCAACUGGUCAUCAAUUCGUCGGGGAAGAAGAGGGUUUGACUGCGGUUCUCGACCCCUGGCGAC